AGAGUUUGAUCCUGGCUCAGAAUCAACGCUGGCGGCGUGCCUCAGACAUGCAAGUCGAACGCGAAAGGCUCCUUCGGGGGCCGAGUAGAGUGGCGCACGGGUGAGUAACACGUAGGUAAUUUGCCUUCGGGUGGGGAAUAACAGCCGGAAACGGCUGCUAAUACCGCAUAAUGCAGCGGCUCGACAUCGAGACAGUUGUUAAAGCGGGGGAUUCCGAAAGGAACCUCGCGCCUGAAAAGAAGCCUGCGGCGGAUUAGCUAGUUGGUAAGGUAAUGGCUUACCAAGGCGACGAUCCGUAACCGGCCUGAGAGGGCGGUCGGUCACACUGACACUGACAUACGGGUCAGACUCCUACGGGAGGCAGCAGUCGGGAAUUUUGGGCAAUGGGCGAAAGCCUGACCCAGCAACGCCGCGUGAAGGAUGAAAUCCCUCGGGAUGUAAACUUCGCAAGAAUGGGAAGAAGGUCAGAGGGUGAUACCCCUUUCUGGCUUGGCGGUACCAUUUGUAAGCUCCGGCUAACUCCGUGCCAGCAGCCGCGGUAAUACGGGGGGAGCAAGCGUUGUUCGGAUUUACUGGGCGUAAAGGGCGCGUAGGCGGUCGUGACAAGUCACUUGUGAAAUCUCCGGGCUUAACUCGGAACGGUCAAGUGAUACUGUCAGACUAGAGUACAGAAAGGGGCAACUGUAUUUCUCGGUGUAGCGGUGAAAUGCGUAGA
rnacentral:rRNA from 1 species